rnacentral:rRNA from 1 species
CGAACGCUGGCGGCGUGCCUAAUACAUGCAAGUAGAACGCUGAAGAGAGGAGCUUGCUCUUCUUGGAUGAGUUGCGAACGGGUGAGUAACGCGUAGGUAACCUGCCUUGUAGCGGGGGAUAACUAUUGGAAACGAUAGCUAAUACCGCAUAACAAUGGAUGACACAUGUCAUUUAUUUGAAAGGGGCAAUUGUUCCACUACAAGAUGGACCUGCGUUGUAUUAGCUAGUAGGUGAGGUAAUGGCUCACCUAGGCGACGAUACAUAGCCGACCUGAGAGGGUGAUCGGCCACACUGGGACUGAGACACGGCCCAGACUCCUACGGGAGGCAGCAGUAGGGAAUCUUCGGCAAUGGGGGCAACCCUGACCGAGCAACGCCGCGUGAGUGAAGAAGGUUUUCGGAUCGUAAAGCUCUGUUGUAAGUCAAGAACGGGUGUGAGAGUGGAAAGUUCACACUAUGACGGUAGCUUACCAGAAAGGGACGGCUAACUACGUGCCAGCAGCCGCGGUAAUACGUAGGUCCCGAGCGUUGUCCGGAUUUAUUGGGCGUAAAGCGAGCGCAGGCGGUUUGAUAAGUCUGAAGUUAAAGGCUGUGGCUCAACCAUAGUUCGCUUUGGAAACUGUCAAACUUGAGUGCAGAAGGGGAGAGUGGAAUUCCAUGUGUAGCGGUGAAAUGCGUAGAUAUAUGGAGGAACACCGGUGGCGAAAGCGGCUCUCUGGUCUGUAACUGACGCUGAGGCUCGAAAGCGUGGGGAGCGAACAGGAUUAGAUACCCUGGUAGUCCACGCCGUAAACGAUGAGUGCUAGGUGUUGGAUCCUUUCCGGGAUUCAGUGCCGCAGCUAACGCAUUAAGCACUCCGCCUGGGGAGUACGACCGCAAGGUUGAAACUCAAAGGAAUUGACGGGGGCCCGCACAAGCGGUGGAGCAUGUGGUUUAAUUCGAAGCAACGCGAAGAACCUUACCAGGUCUUGACAUCCCGAUGCUAUUUCUAGAGAUAGAAAGUUACUUCGGUACAUCGGUGACAGGUGGUGCAUGGUUGUCGUCAGCUCGUGUCGUGAGAUGUUGGGUUAAGUCCCGCAACGAGCGCAACCCCUAUUGUUAGUUGCCAUCAUUCAGUUGGGCACUCUAGCGAGACUGCCGGUAAUAAACCGGAGGAAGGUGGGGAUGACGUCAAAUCAUCAUGCCCCUUAUGACCUGGGCUACACACGUGCUACAAUGGUUGGUACAACGAGUUGCGAGUCGGUGACGGCGAGCUAAUCUCUUAAAGCCAAUCUCAGUUCGGAUUGUAGGCUGCAACUCGCCUACAUGAAGUCGGAAUCGCUAGUAAUCGCGGAUCAGCACGCCGCGGUGAAUACGUUCCCGGGCCUUGUACACACCGCCCGUCACACCACGAGAGUUUGUAACACCCGAAGUCGGUGAGGUAACCUUUUGGAGCCAGCCGCCUAAGGUGGGACAGAUGA